rnacentral:hammerhead_ribozyme from 1 species
AGCCGAAACACCCUGAUUCGUCAGGGUGUCGCGAGGGGAUGACCUUCCUCGCCUGAUGAUGGCAGGUCAGG